UGGGGAAUUUUGGACAAUGGGGGGAACCCUGAUCCAGCCAUGCCGCGUGAGUGAAGAAGGCCUUCGGGUUGUAAAGCUCUUUUGUCUGGGAUGAAAUUGCACGGGUGAAUAAUCUGUGUAGAUGACAGUACUGGAAGAAUAAGCACCGGCUAACUACGUGCCAGCAGCCGCGGUAAUACGUAGGGUGCGAGCGUUAAUCGGAAUUACUGGGCGUAAAGGGUGCGCAGGUGGUGUAUCAAGCCGUAAGUGAAAUCCCCGGGCUUAACCUGGGAACGGCUUAUGGGACUGGUAUGCUAGAGUACGGCAGAGGGGGGUAGAAUUCCACGUGUAGCAGUGAAAUGCGUAGAGAUGUGGAGGAAUACCGAUGGCGAAGGCAGCCCCCUGGGUUGAUACUGACACUCAAGCACGAAAGCGUGGGGAGCAAACAGG
rnacentral:rRNA from 1 species